rnacentral:pre_miRNA from 1 species
CAGCUGUGGGUUCAGAAGAAGAGCUCUGGGGCAUCUCCACCAUGGCCUGGACCCCUCUCCUGCUCCCUCUCCUCACUCUCUGCACAGGUGU